rnacentral:sRNA from 1 species
GCCAGGCAUGGUGGUGCAUACCUGUAAUCUCAGCAACUCCGGAGGCUGAAGCAGGAAGAUCUUGAGUUCAAGGCCAGUCUCAGCAACUUAUCGAGGCCCUGAACAACUUAGUGAGACCCUGUCUUAA